rnacentral:rRNA from 1 species
GACGAACGCUGGCGGCGUGCUUAACACAUGCAAGUCGAACGGAAAGGCCCUGCUUUUGUGGGGUGCUCGAGUGGCGAACGGGUGAGUAACACGUGAGUAACCUGCCCUUGACUUUGGGAUAACUUCAGGAAACUGGGGCUAAUACCGGAUAGGAGCUCCUGCUGCAUGGUGGGGGUUGGAAAGUUUCGGCGGUUGGGGAUGGACUCGCGGCUUAUCAGCUUGUUGGUGGGGUAGUGGCUUACCAAGGCUUUGACGGGUAGCCGGCCUGAGAGGGUUACCGGCCACAUUGGGACUGAGAUAGGGCCCAGACUCCUACGGGAGGCAGCAGGGGGGAAUAUUGCACAAUGGGCGGAAGCCUGAUGCAGCAACGCCGGGUGCGGGAUGACGGCCUUCGGGUUGUAAACCGAUGUCGCCUGUGACGAAGCGUGAGUGACGGUAAUUAGUAAAGAAGCACCGGCUAACUACGUG